CGUCCUUGUUGUUUUGUUUUAUACUUGUUAGAGUGUUUUAUGUUUAUUUUAUUUACCUGUAUGUGUCAUGAAAUGUUAUUUUGUCUGAUUUAAUAUUGUCCAAUUUUAUGUUGUUUUGGACCCAGGAAGAAUAGCUGACGGGGUCCUUAUAUUAAAUUUAAACUUAAGACCUAAAGAGCUGCUCCCAAGUUAAAUGUGAAGGGUCAAUGCGAAUAUCUCAGGUUCUAAGUGAAGAGGAAGCUUUACACGAUGUGAUAGAAGAUGCAACACACUGAUGCAGCCCCAAAUCACGUUCAUGUUCAAUUAAUUAGAGCC